UGGCAAAUAUUGCUCCUUUAUUACAUGAUUUCUAUAAAGAAAUGCCAUAACACUGCAUAAUACCCAGUAACACUUCAAGAAGUUGAUGCUGAUUUUGGAGCAGACGGGUUAAAAGGAAGUUGUUCAGCACAGGUGAGAACUUCAUGGGGUCCUGCCUCCUCUCGGCCGACACCCAUCAAGUCGAGGUAAUACUGGUAAUGGGAUACAAUGUUGUUCAUGGAGUCGACAUCACCUUGACCACAAACACUGUCACCAUACAAAAUGUUCAUUGUGGUGCCAAAACCCGGAAACCGUUUAGCCAAGGUAUCGUUUUUGGUGGGUUUCCAGUUGCCAACAAAGGCAUCAUGAGACGAAGGUUGUCCUUUCUUUAUUGGUGUCAUCCAUCUCCAAAUUGCGGCCUGGAAAGCGAGGGUGGCAUUUUGUUCAAUGUAUUCAGGAUGGUUCAACAAAUCGAC
rnacentral:lncRNA from 1 species